rnacentral:rRNA from 1 species
AUACGGAGGACGCGAGCGUUAUCCGGAUUCAUUGGGUUUAAAGGGUGCGCAGGCGGCCGUGCAAGUCAGCGGUGAAAGCCCGGGGCUCAACCCCGGAAGUGCCGUUGAUACUGCGUGGCUGGAAUGCGGUCGAGGCGGGCGGGACGUGGCGGGUAGCGGGGAAAUGCGUAGAGAUGCCACAGAACGCCGAUAGCGGAGGCAGCUCGCCAGGCCUGCAUGGACGCUCGGGCACGAAAGCGUGGGGAUCGAACAGGAUUAGAGACCCUGGUAGUCCACGCCGUAAACGAUGGGCGCUCGUCGUCGGCGACAGACAGUCGGCGGCCAAGCGAAAGCGAUAAGCGCCCCACCUGGGGAGUACGGUCGCAAGGCUGAAACUCAAAUGAAUUGACGGGG